rnacentral:rRNA from 1 species
AUUGAACGCUGGCGGCAUGCUUUACACAUGCAAGCCGAGCGGCAGCGCGGGGGGCAACCCUGGCGGCGAGCGGCGAACGGGUGAGUAAUGCAUCGGAACGUACCCUGGAGUGGGGGAUAACGCCGCGAAAGCGGCGCUAAUACCGCAUAUGCUCUGAGGAGGAAAGUGGGGGACCUGCAAGGGCCUCACGCUCUGGGAGCGGCCGAUGUCCGAUUAGCUAGUUGGUGGGGUAAAGGCUUACCAAGGCGACGAUCGGUAGCUGGUCUGAGAGGAUGAUCAGCCACACUGGGACUGAGACACGGCCCAGACUCCUACGGGAGGCAGCAGUGGGGAAUUUUGGACAAUGGGGGCAACCCUGAUCCAGCCAUGCCGCGUGAGUGAAGAAGGCCUU